AUGGGUUUGCCUUGGUAUCGUGUUCAUACUGUCGUAUUGAAUGAUCCGGGUCGAUUGCUUGCGGUGCAUAUAAUGCACACAGCUCUAGUUUCUGGUUGGGCUGGCUCAAUGGCUUUAUACGAAUUAGCAGUUUUUGAUCCCUCUGAUCCUGUUCUGGAUCCAAUGUGGAGACAAGGUAUGUUCGUAAUUCCCUUCAUGACUCGUUUAGGAAUAACGGAUUCGUGGGGUGGUUGGAGUAUUUCAGGAGGAACUGUAACAAAUCCGGGUAUUUGGAGUUAUGAAGGUGUGGCAGGUACACAUAUUGUGUUUUCUGGCUUGUGUUUCUUGGCAGCGAUCUGGCAUUGGGUAUAUUGGGACCUAGAAAUAUUCUCUGAUGAGCGGACGGGAAAACCCUCUUUGGAUUUGCCCAAGAUCUUUGGAAUUCAUUUAUUUCUUGCAGGGGUGGCUUGCUUUGGCUUUGGGGCAUUUCAUGUAACGGGUUUGUAUGGUCCUGGGAUAUGGGUAUCCGAUCCUUAUGGACUAACUGGAAAAGUACAAGCUGUAAAUCCAGCGUGGGGUGCAGAAGGUUUUGAUCCUUUUGUUCCGGGGGGAAUAGCUUCUCAUCAUAUUGCUGCGGGUACAUUGGGUAUAAAUCUCUAG
rnacentral:rRNA from 1 species